rnacentral:rRNA from 1 species
AGAUUGAACGCUGGCGGCACGCUUAACACAUGCAAGUCGAGCGGUUUGAUAUCUAGCUUGCUAGAUAUCGGAUAGCGGCGGACGGGUGAGUAACGCGUAGGAAUCUGCCUUAGAGCGGGGGAUAACACGGGGAAACUCGUGCUAAUACCGCAUAAUACCUGAGGGUUAAAGAGGGCGAAAGCACUCACUCUAAGAGGAGCCUGCGUUGGAUUAGCUAGUUGGUAGGGGUAAA